rnacentral:rRNA from 1 species
UACGUAGGGCGCAAGCGUUGUCCGGAAUUAUUGGGCGUAAAGAGCUCGUAGGCGGUCUGUCGCGUCGGCUGUGAAAACCCGGAGCUCAACUCCGGGCCUGCAGUCGAUACGGGCAGACUGGAGUUCGGCAGGGGAGACUGGAAUUCCUGGUGUAGCGGUGAAAUGCGCAGAUAUCAGGAGGAACAUCGGUGGCGAAGGCGGGUCUCUGGGCCGAUACUGACGCUGAGGAGCGAAAGCGUGGGGAGCGAACAGG